UCACGUGCGAAAGAAUUGCCCAACCUGCUCGCCCCACGCGCCGCGCACACACCACGCACUGCACGAACCCUAGCCUCCAAUCCUCUGCCGGCACACCCCCACUCCUCCCUCGCUCCACUGCAGCCGCCGCACCUCUCUCUCCUCCGUUCGCUCUUCUCCCUCAUUCACCACAGCCACAGCCCCAGGAGCUCCGUUGUCCCUGUCGAGGAGAUCCAUGGCCUCCCGACGUGCUCAUCUGCUCAGGUCGCGAGGAAGCCGGGGGAGGAGGAGACCUCGUCGCGAGGGAGCUGCGGGAGGAGGAGCUCAACCCAAGAGGAGAGGAUGCCAGCCAGGGAGUCGUCUUGGCUCGACGUGGUCCUUCGCGUCUUGAACCUAGCACCGUAGGCGGCUCGUUUAGUGGCGCAGCGGACGGCGGCCUCAGCGGGUGGGUGACGGUAGCCGCAGCUGGUGCAUGACCUCGCAUCCUGGGUGCGUGCUCGAUUAGCUCGCGUCUUCAUGGUCUUCAGGUGCGCAGCUCCCAGGAUUUAAUAAGCUGCCUUGGGCUUCAUUGGACAAAUGAUCUACCUGGAGCAAUGAUACAUGCAAGUAUUUUAUUUUAAACACUAGAAGCAUUAAGUUAUCAGAUGUUUGAGGUUUGGCUUUAAAAAUAAGCUAUUUCUAACGGAAGGUCAAUGGGAGAAAAAGGCAGUGUAUACAUUUUAUUUGGUGCUUAUCUGUGACCUUGCGCACUUAUCUUUAUAUAUGCUCUUCUUCAUAGAUAUCUUCCUGUCGGUUCUCUUAUGAAGAUCUUUCCCUAUAUCUGAUUUUAUACCAUAUCAGGAACCAUGGUGUCCCACUACACUUGAUCCGUGAGCUGUAUGAGACCUUGCGCAACUUCAAAAUUCAUGUUUCAGAUUAUGUGCACCGCAGAGAUGAGCUUAAUGUGAGUGAUGUUACAUGUAUUAUCUGUCGUGAAGAGAUGACAACAGCAAAGAAGCUGCUUUGUGGGCACUUGUUCCAUGUGCAUUGUCUGAGGUCAUGGCGAGAGCGCCAACAUACUUGCCCCACAUGUAGAUCUCCCAUUGCCCCCCGGACAAUGGACGUGAUCCAUCAGUGCGACAACAUGAAGCUCAACUAGGAGUUAGCUUGCUGCAGGCAUUGGUGCUCCAGGUUCAGAAGGAGUAACAAGCAAGAACGUGAACAGGCGCCCCACAAAACUUGAGGCCUACUUGAACAGGCGCCCAACAAAACAGGCAAU